rnacentral:lncRNA from 1 species
CUGAAAUAAACUAAAUGGGAAAGUCCGAGGAUGUGAUUAUCUGGCAUUAUUUCAAACACUGUCACCUACCGAUAAACUGCUAUUAGAAUCCCCUCUGGAAAAAACUCUCUCUGUUCCUUCCUUGCCAAUAAAUAGGGUCUGACCUGGAAUGUGGCAGAGCAAAGAUCAAGAUCAUUGAAAUUCCCUUCACAUCUUUCCUACUCUCAUCUUUCCCCCUGGAGCGUUACAUGCUGAGAAGCUGCAUGAAGUGAGAAGGCUGGUCCAAUGAUCCAUUUAUCACCAAACUGCUGCAACAGAAAUAAGUUUGACUGCAAUCACCUGUGACAAAUGUCCUCCCUAGCGAUUUGGGAAUUAUGUUGCCUGUGCCCAAGUGAUCUUUAAAUGGUAGCAAAAAGCAAGCUGUCUGCAGCUGAUGUAAUCCCACCAGUGCAAGAUAUUUAACUGAGCUACCUGAGUUAAGAGUUUGGUUGCUCCAAACUUAAUCAGUAGUCAAGAGACAGAUAAGGAACAUUUGGUGAAAAUGAAUCAGAUAAUUUUUGCAAUUUUCAUCACUGACGUAUUUUGCUUAAAUAUUUUAAUUAAUGCCAGCCUUGCUUUCCCCACAAAUUGGUAGAAACAACAUCUCUUAAUGCCCAGAUUCUGGCUUGGAAUCCAACAAACUUCAUGCUUCCUGUGCAGCCCCAAAAGAGAGAAUGGGCAGAAACGAAUCCAUUUAUCACAGCUGUCUAUCCAAAUGUAUGCAACUCUUCCCUUAGGUUAAUAGGGAACUUCUGGUUUCAGUUCAGUGUGGGAAUUAAAACUGAAGACUGGAUGCUUAAUAAUUCAUGUAGCCAUUAUUUAAUGAUAAAAUGAGGUUGUUCAGCUUCCUUAGCUUUACCUCUCUGACUUUAUUAUGUGCUCCCUAAUAGCACAGUGAGAAUUUAAUGUAAAUAUAUAUGUUUGUUUGUUUAUUCCUAGCUUCCUCGCUGUCUGACCCUGUUUGUCUGUGGAGCUGUCUUUCAGUCCUCCUGCAGAAGCUUUUCAAUAUUAGCCAAUUUCAACCAAGUUUGGCCAAGGCAAAAAGAACCAAAAGGUACUACAUCUAUAAAAUCAGACUGCCAUCAAGCAGAAAAACUACUUUUAAGGUGAUUUCCAGCUGAGACAGAGGAGUACUCCACUGCUUUUAACAGUUAGCCAUUCCUGUACAGUCUGGGAUUUCUUUGUACCUUGAGAUUGUUGAUCUGCACUGACUGAUACAAGGCACACCCAUACUUUCAGAACUCUACAGUCUGAAUUAACAGCACCACACAAGCUGUUAAUUCAGACCUGAUACAAGAAGUUCACGUCCCUGGAAUUUAUUUUCUUCUAAGAGUAUGCUUUAAUCAAAGGGCUAGCCUCUCAGCUGGGAAUCAGCUGAGUUUAAUCUGUCAAGGAAAUGCACUAUCCAUGACACCCAUCAUCUUUGUACUCACCUACCUUGUAUAAAAAUAAAUACAUAAGAAAUGAAGACA